rnacentral:tRNA from 1 species
GGGCGGAUGGUGAAAUUGGUAUACACGCAGCCUUGAGGUGGCUGUGCCGUAAGGCGUGGAGGUUCAAGUCCUCUUCCGCCCACCA